ACGGAGUUAUUUUGGCAGAAGCCUUCGGGUGGACGCUGAUAUAACUUAGUGGCGAACGGGUGAGUAACACGUGAGCAACCUGCCCUUCAGAGGGGGACAACAGUUGGAAACGACUGCUAAUACCGCAUAAGACCACGGUGUGGCAUCACACAGAGGUCAAAGGAGAAAUCCGCUGAAGGAUGGGCUCGCGUCCAAUUAGCUAGAUGGUGAGGUAACGGCCCACCAUGGCGACGAUUGGUAGCCGGACUGAGAGGUUGACCGGCCACAUUGGGACUGAGACACGGCCCAGACUCCUACGGGAGGCAGCAGUGGGGAAUAUUGCACAAUGGAGGAAACUCUGAUGCAGCGACGCCGCGUGAGGGAAGAAGGUCUUCGGAUUGUAAACCUCUGUUGUCAGGGACGAUAAUGACGGUACCUGACGAGGAAGCCACGGCUAACUACGUGCCAGCAGCCGCGGUAAAACGUAGGUGGCAAGCGUUGUCCGGAAUUACUGGGUGUAAAGGGAGCGCAGGCGGGAGAGCAAGUUGGAAGUGAAAUCUGUGGGCUCAACUCACAAAUUGCUUUCAAAACUGUUUUUCUUGAGUGGUGUAGAGGUAGGCGGAAUUCCCGGUGUAGCGGUGGAAUGCGUAGAUAUCGGGAGGAACACCAGUGGCGAAGGCGGCCUACUGGGCACUAACUGACGCUGAGGCUCGA
rnacentral:rRNA from 1 species